GUUCCUGUAGUGUAGUGGUUAUCACGUUUGCUUUACACGCAAAAUGUCUCUGGUUCAAAACCAGCCAGAAAUG
rnacentral:tRNA from 1 species